rnacentral:rRNA from 1 species
UACGUUCCCGGGCCUUGUACACACCGCCCGUCACACCAUGAAAGUUGGUAACACCCGAAGCCGGUGGCCCAACCCGUAAGGGGGGAGCCGUCGAAGGUGGGAUCAGCGAUUGGGGUG